GACGAACGCUGGCGGCGUGCUUAACACAUGCAAGUCGAGCGGAAAGGCCCUUCGGGGUACUCGAGCGGCGAACGGGUGAGUAACACGUGAGUAACCUGCCCCAGACUUUGGGAUAACCCUCGGAAACGGGGGCUAAUACCGGAUACGACACAGCUUCGCAUGGGGUCUGUGUGGAAAGUUUUUCGGUUUGGGAUGGGCUCGCGGCCUAUCAGCUUGUUGGUGGGGUGAUGGCCUACCAAGGCGACGACGGGUAGCCGGCCUGAGAGGGCGACCGGCCACACUGGGACUGAGACACGGCCCAGACUCCUACGGGAGGCAGCAGUGGGGAAUAUUGCACAAUGGGCGGAAGCCUGAUGCAGCGACGCCGCGUGAGGGAUGACGGCCUUCGGGUUGUAAACCUCUGUCAGCAGGGACGAAGCGUAAGUGACGGUACCUGCAGAAGAAGCGCCGGCCAACUACGUG
rnacentral:rRNA from 1 species